rnacentral:lncRNA from 1 species
GUCUUGUGCCAUCCUUAAGGAACAGGAAAGACGAGCUUACCCAAAUCAGAAGAGUAAAGUGAGAUGAUGUGGAGCUUGAAAGGUCAUUGGUGACAGAAAAUACAGCCUCCCUAUGGUGGGAGCAGAGGAGGGCCAAAAGUGAGUUCAGUCCUGAUAAAAGCAUUUAAUUUCCACAUACUCUCACUGGAAGAAGUUUGGUUUCUCUGCAGAUGCCCAGAGAAGAGACUGAGUUCACUUCAUUUGUGCACAUAUUUCACUGUUGAUGAAUCAAACCAACAUGAAAUGCUUGGAAGUCAUGGAAAAAAUGAAUGUGAAAAAAUUCAUUAUGGUGAACUCUACAACUGAGUCAAAAAAGAGAUGAGAGCACUGGAUUCUGGGAAACAUACUACGAAAGGUAAUAAACUUUAUGUAAGACUGUUGUUUACCUUAUAA